ensembl:lncRNA LINC00906 long intergenic non-protein coding RNA 906
CUUUCCUGAGAGGCAGUCCCUGCAGCAGGCUUGAGCCUCUCUCACUGACAGCCUGCCUCGCAUAAUGUUAAGCAGGCAUCGGACACUUGCUGGAAGGCAGGGAAUUGCAAUGAAAGAGCACGGAGGUGAGAAGCUGUGCUCCUUGGGGUGAAGGCAGCUUCUGUGCUCCUGGGAUCUACUGUUAAGCCAGGGUGACGCCAGCUUGCAUGCUACCGGAGGGUUCUGGAGGCUGGAAAAUCUAAGAUCAAAAUGCCAACAGGUUUGGUGUCUGGUGAGGGCCCACUCUCCACUUCCAAGACGAUGCCUUGAACACUGCAUCCUCCAGCGUGGAGGAAACACAGUUCCUCACAUGUCAGAAGAACAAAAGAGGAAAGAGAGAGCCCACUCUCAAAAGCCCUUUUGUUUAAGGUAUUAAACCCACCAUGAGGGAAGAGCCUACAUGGCCUUACCACCUGUUAAAGGCUUCACCUCCCAAGACCAUUACAUUGGCAAUUACAUUUCAACAUCAACCUUCAGGCCUCCACUUAAGCGAGUUCUGACGUCAGUGAAUACUUCUGCAGCAUGGAAGUGCCAGGACCCUCGUUGGCCCCUGAUGGCCAAAUAGCCUCACUCUCCAUUAGAAGAGAAAGCCUCACUCUCCAUUAGAAGGCCAGGAGAGCGAAAUCAGGGAUUGCUUUCAAAACAAACAGUGUGGCAAUAAAGAAUUUCAGAAGAAAAUAAAGAA